AAUCAGAUGUUUUUUAAAGUCGGGAUCGGCUGCUUCAUUUCUCCAACCGGAAACACGUACCCUACGAUAACACACUUAACAAGCUUAGAAGUGGAAAGUUUGCUGUUGGUUUGAACAUACGAAGACUACAAGAUGAUUUCUGACGUACAACUGGCUAUCUUUGCUAAUGCUCUAGGAGUGACGUUAUUUCUGCUGGUCGUUCUGUAUCAUUAUGUGUCGGUCAACAACAUCAAGAAGCACGAUUAAAAAUCAUCAGAUGCAUAUCCACUUUGAUAUACAGAUGUUUCUAGUAACUGUGUGAAUGGGCUGGUGUUUUGUGUAAAUGUCAUCAUUUGUUAAUUAAAUCAUUUGUAGUUAA